UACGGAGGGUACGAACGUUAAUCGGAAUUACUGGGCGUAAAGCGCGCGUAGGCGGUUUGAUAAGUGGGAUGUGAAAGCCCCGGGCUCAACCUGGGAACUGCAUUCCAAACUGUCAGACUAGAGUGUGGUAGAGGGAGGUAGAAUUCAUAGUGUAGCGGUGGAAUGCGUAGAUAUUAUGAAGAAUACCAGUGGCGAAGGCGGCCACCUGGACAAAUACUGACGCUGAGGCACGAAAGCGUGGGGAGCAAACAGG
rnacentral:rRNA from 1 species